rnacentral:rRNA from 1 species
UACAUGGAUACCUGUGGUAAUUCUAGAGCUAAUACACGCAGGCGGGGUGCAUUUAUUAGAACAAAACCAAUUUUGGUGAAUCUGAAUAACUCACAGUCUUUGUACUGGCGACGUAUCUUUCAAGUGUCUGCCCUAUCAACUUUCGAUGGUAGUUUAUGUGCCUACCAUGGUUGUAACGGGUAACGGAGAAUAAGGGUUCGACUCCGGAGAGGGAGCCUGAGAAACGGCUACCACAUCCAAGGAAGGCAGCAGGCGCGCAAAUUACCCACUCUCAGCGAGGAGGUAGUGACGAAAAAUAACGAGAUGGUUCUCUUUGUCAUCGGAAUGGGUACAAUUUAAAUCCUUUAACGAGGAUCUAUUGGAGGGCAAGUCUGGUGCCAGCAGCCGCGGUAAUUCCAGCUCCAAUAGCGUAUAUUAAAGUUGUUGCGGUUAAAAAGCUCGUAGUUGGAUCUGCUCGGAAGCCGGUGCCCUAUCUAGGUGUCUCUCUGGUUUCUGUUGGUCCUCUUUACUGAGUGCCGCAGUGACCAGAAUGUUUACUUUGAAAAAAUUAGAGUGCUCAAAGCAGGCGCGUAGCCUGAAUAGUGGUGCAUGGAAUAAUGGAAUAGGAGGUUCUAUUUUGUUGGUUUUUGGAGCAGAGGUAAUGAUUAAGAGGGACAGACGGGGGCAUUCGUAUUGCUGCGUUAGAGGUGAAAUUCUUGGA